rnacentral:lncRNA from 1 species
GCCCACCAGACCUCCCCACUCCCCAGGGCCUCAAGUCUCUUGAGAAUUAGGUACAUCUUCUCUGACUGAGUUCAGAUCCAGCAGACCUCUGCUGUAUAUGGGUUGGGGGCCUCAUAUCAGCUGAUGUAUGCUGCCUGGUUUGUGGGUCAGUGUCUAAGAGAUCUUGGGGGUCCAGGCUAGUUGAGAGUGCUAGUCUAUAGGGUCGCCUUUCUCCUCAGCUUCUUCCAGCUUUUCCCUAAUUCAAUCACAGGAGUUAGCAGCUUCUGUUCAUUGGUUGGGUGUAAAUAUCUGCAUCUGUCUCUUUCAGCUGCUUGUUGGGCCUUUCAGAGGGCAGUCAUGAUAGGCCCCUGUUUGUAGGCACACCAUAACCUCAGUAAUAGUGUCAAGCCUUGCAGCCUCCCCUUGAGCUAACCAUGAAACAUUUUUCUCCUCCUCCUCUUCCUCCUCUUCUUCCUCUUCCUUCUCCCUCCCCCCCUCUCUCUACACAUAUAUAUAUGGCUUAUUUGAAAAUUUUUUGAAUCAUAUUUUAAAUAUAAUAUUUUAAAAUGAAAAUAUUUAUUACUUAUCUAAUAGGUAAUGUAAAACAGGAUGUUUUUGUGAACGUAGCUUGUGUGUUUUUCAGAAACAAUCCCCAUUUGAACUUCUGGAUUCUUAUUCUCACUCUCUUAAAGCAAGAAAACUACUUCUAGUACCAAAGAAUUUAUUAACCACUAGAAUCAAGAAUCACUGUGGUACUUGGAAAGAAAAGAAUAAUUCAGUUGAUUAUCAUCAUAAUCAAUGAAAAUGGGAACAUAAAUCGGAGACUCUUAUAAUACCCAGGGUCCAGUAGUCAUAAAGGAAUCAAAAUUGUUCAUUCUGAAUUUUUGAGUUUCAGACAUGAAGGCUAAGAAUUUUCUUUUAAGG